UACGGGGGGGGCAAGCGUUGUUCGGAAUUACUGGGCGUAAAGGGCUCGUAGGUGGCCAACUAAGUCAGACGUGAAAUCCCUCGGCUUAACCGGGGAACUGCGUCUGAUACUGGAUGGCUUGAGUUCGGGAGAGGGAUGCGGAAUUCCAGGUGUAGCGGUGAAACGCGUAGAUAUCUGGAGGAACACCGGUGGCGAAGGCGGCAUCCUGGACCGACACUGACACUGAGGAGCGAAAGCCAGGGGAGCAAACGGGG
rnacentral:rRNA from 1 species